rnacentral:rRNA from 1 species
CCAGGGGGGGGUGCUAUACAUGCAGUCGAGCGCAGGAAGUUAUCUGAUCCUCUUUUAGAGGUGACGAUAAUGGAAUGAGCGGCGGACGGGUGAGUAACACGUAGGCAACCUGCCUGUAAGACUGGGAUAACUCGUGGAAACGCGAGCUAAUACCGGAUAACACUUUUCAUCUCCUGAUGAGAAGUUGAAAGGCGGCUUUUGCUGUCACUUACAGAUGGGCCUGCGGCGCAUUAGCUAGUUGGUAAGGUAAUGGCUUACCAAGGCGACGAUGCGUAGCCGACCUGAGAGGGUGAUCGGCCACACUGGGACUGAGACACGGCCCAGACUCCUACGGGAGGCAGCAGUAGGGAAUCUUCCGCAAUGGACGAAAGUCUGACGGAGCAACGCCGCGUGAGUGAUGAAGGUUUUCGGAUCGUAAAACUCUGUUGUUAGGGAAGAACAAGUGCCAUAGUAACUGAUGGCACCUUGACGGUACCUAACCAGAAAGCCACGGCUAACUACGUGCCAGCAGCCGCGGUAAUACGUAGGUGGCAAGCGUUGUCCGGAAUUAUUGGGCGUAAAGCGCUCGCAGGCGGUUCUUUAAGUCUGAUGUGAAAUCUUACGGCUCAACCGUAAACGUGCAUUGGAAACUGGGGAACUUGAGUGCAGAAGAGGAGAGUGGAAUUCCACGUGUAGCGGUGAAAUGCGUAGAGAUGUGGAGGAACACCAGUGGCGAAGGCGACUCUCUGGUCUGUAACUGACGCUGAGGAGCGAAAGCGUGGGGAGCGAACAGGAUUAGAUACCCUGGUAGUCCACGCCGU